UACGGAGAUGGCAACCGUUGUUCGGAAUCACUGGGCUUAAAGAGCACGUAGGCGGAAAGAUAAGUCGAUUGUGAAAUCCCAUGGCUUACCCAUGGAAUAGCAGUCGAAACUGUUUUUCUUGAGUGCGGAAGAGGAGAGUGGAACUCCUAGUGGAGCGGUGAAAUGCGUUGAUAUUAGGAGGAACGCCGGUGGCGAAAGCGACUCUCUGGUCCGCGUCUGACGCUGAGGUGCGAAAGCUAGGGGAGCAAACGGG
rnacentral:misc_RNA from 1 species